rfam:Human gut metagenome DNA, contig sequence: F1-T_015115.
UCUAUCGCGAGGUAGAAUCUGAAGGAAGCUGUAAGCAAAUCUCUGGUCCGACGAACAGAAAUCACAUAUAAGGCUAGGCUACGAGAGAUAAGUUGGCGUGAAGCAACGAAGUCUAAUAACUAUCACCUUUGGCUGUUCGUUUCGUUACGGAUGGAAUGGAUAUAUU